UUAAUAUCUGUUCUUUUUUUUUUGUUUGAGGAAGAUUAGCACUGAGCUAACAUCUGCUGCUAAUCCUCCUCUUUUUGCUGAGGAAGACUGCCCCUGAGCUAACAUCUGUGCCCAUCUUCAUCUACUUUAUACGUGGGACGCCUGCCACAGCAUGGUUUGCCGAGUGGUGCCAUGUCUGAACCCGGGAUCCGAACCCGCAAAUCCCAGGCUGCCGAAGCAGAACAUGUGAACUUAACCACUGUGCCACCGGGUCUGCACCACUAAUAAUAUGUUUUGAUACCAUAUUUAAUUUUGUUUCUUCCUCUCCUAGGUAAAUCCUCGAGUAUAUCAAGGUUGGAGUCUAAAUGACAACGUAGAGGGAGUUGCCAUCUAUUGAGUUAAUUUACAUCACAUUUCUGAGAAGACUAAGAAUUACAUGAAGGAAAACUCAGAACACAUCAAAACAACGUUCAUUUGUGAACAGAAGAUAACGAAGCAAAGAAACAUACUCAAGAAAAUAAGAGGAAACUAAGAUUCUCUGUGAUGAGGCACAUAACUUUAAGGUCAAUAUGGCUGCAAGAGCACAUGUUCCUUUCCCAGAAUUGCACUACACACCCUACCCGUGGGCUGCCCUUUAUCACCACUCAUGGACCAUGGGCCACCUCCACCUCCUGCAUGCUGGUGUCCUCUGGGACUUCAACUACCACCUCCACCAAUUGGUGGGAUGAUCUGAACAAUCACUAACGACAAAGGUUGUCAAAUUAGAAAUGGAGUGGGAGACAGCUAGAGAAAAUGGACAAGCAACAACGUAAUGAGAGCUAACAUUCCAGAAAAAGCAAAAAGUCUUCCCAAACCUGAGUCAUCUCCUGAAGACAUCACUGAAUUACAG
ensembl:lncRNA